GUGAAUAGACCCCCACCCAGGGCAGGGCAGAGGGGCACAGCAGGGCAGGGCAGAGGGGCACAGCAGGGCAGGGCAGAGGGGCACAGCAGGGCAGAGCUGGUGAUGUGAGUGGGAGCUGAGGAUCCUGGGGAUACUGAGUGUCCUGGAUCCACCCCUGGCUGCUGAGAUCACUGGAGACAUUGAAAGCAGCGGAUCAAGUGCACUGUCCUGUAAUCGAUUGCCGAGCGCCUGGAGCUGCUGCCAGCCUUUAUGUAUUGGCCGUGCGUCUGGGGAAGGCUGGCUGGCUGGCUGGCUGCUGCUGCUUGAUCCGUU